AUUGAACGCUGGCGGCAGGCUUAACACAUGCAAGUCGAACGAGUGGCGGACGGGUGAGUAAUGCUUGGGAAUCUAGCUUAUGGAGGGGGAUAACUACGGGAAACUGUAGCUAAUACCGCGUACCAUAGGAUGAGCCCAAGUGGGAUUAGGUAGUUGGUUAGGUAAAGGCUCACCAAGCCGCCGAUCCCUAGCUGGUCUGAGAGGAUGACCAGCCACACUGGGACUGAGAUACGGCCGAGACUCCUGCGUGAGGCAGCAGUGGGUAAUAUUGCGCAAUGGGGGCAACCUGACUCAGCCAUGCCGCGUGAAUGAAGAAGGCCUUCGGGUUGUAAAGUUCUUUCGGUAGCGAGGCGUUAACUACAGAAGAAGCACCGGCUAACUCCGUGCCAGCAGCCGCGGUAAUAC
rnacentral:rRNA from 1 species